UUCACUCUCCUUAUUCUUCUUCUUCUUCUUCUUCUCAUCUCUCUCUCUCUCUCUCUCUCUCUCUCUCAUGUUGCAGCCAUCUCCAGUCCAUGGCAACAACAGCAGUACUUUUCCACUUGCUCGCUCUAUCAGAUUAGCAAUCCGCUGCUCAUUGUUAGGGCUUAAAGAGUAUCGGCCAUGACCUUCUAUUACGGAUGGUCUCUAUAUGUGUUUAGCUUCAUCUCACUUAAAUGGCGAGACUGAAAUCUCAUAUCUGUAAGAAAGGUGCAACAAAUUGGUUUUCUUUGUUAACUUUAGGGAAUUGAUUCUUUUCUUAUGUUUGGUUGUUUCUUGAUUUUGUUUUUAGGCUCUUACAUGCCCCUUUUUGUAAGGCAGAUCUAAAUUUUGGGGUUAACCUUUGAAGAUGUAAGACAGAUAGUUGGAAAACAAAAGAGAAGCCUAAUUGGUUUCUGUUGAUGCAAGAGAUGUUGCCUUGUUGGGUCUGAAUUUUUGUUUGCAGAAAGGACUUGUCGUAAGGACAUCACAAAUCAGGGGUCAUUGGAUCUUACACAUCAUUAGAGAAGGUUUGCGGACGAGUUUAUCAGUACUUAGUUGAAGUGAUCAAGUUGGAAGAGUUGCAAGUAAAUUACUUCAUAUCUUAUCAUGUGUGAUGUUUUGUACCAUACUACAUUUCAAUGUUAUAUGCUUGUUCUUGCUAUGGACUUCACAUGUGUAUAUUGCUCAAUUUCACAGCUUGUGCUUGUCCAGCUAGUGUGAUUUUAGACUUUGAUUUUCAUAUGGUUUUUGGGUGUGCAAGUAAGUUUCAAUUGAUUUGUUAUAUGCUUUACAGAAGUAGAUGUUCUUAUCAAGCAUUUUUUGGUAGUGUGGGUCUACUGGUUUUGUUGCAGAUCUUAUGUCAUAUCUAGUUUUUUAUUCUUUUCUACUUUUGUAACAACAUAAGUAAUCUAACACCAAUUUUAAUAUCCUUGUAGCUCAAAAAUUGGGCACUUAAUUUUCUAAUAAGAAACAUGGCUGUUCUUAUCUAGCUCUAUUCUUUUGGCAGUGGAAAACUAGUUCACAAGGUCCAAUGACUAGCUAGGCAUAAAUUGACGUAAGAUUUUUUUGCUCAACUUAGCUGAGUCAGAUGCAUUUUGUUGCCGACUUACCUUUUUAUGAUGACUCGUUUAGUGUUAUUGUGUGCUUCAACUUAGACUAAUUUACAGAAGUUGGAAACUUUAUACUUAAAGUCAUUUUUUUGUGAAUUCCAUUUAUUUCUACAAUUACUUCAUAUUAUGUGGCAUAUGAUCCAUUUCCUGCCUUACAGGUUUGACUAGGAGUUUAACAAAGAAGUUGCUACUGAAGUAAUCUAGCUAUUUGCAAGUUUUGGAGUUAACCAAGUAGUAGAAAAGUUUGAAGUUGAAGGUGGUGUUAUAUUCAUGGCAACUCCAGUUGAUCUGUUGCAACUGGAUUUCUGGUGCUCAUAUGUUUCAUUAAUUUUCAAAAGUUGAAGUUGUCACCAGAGCUUAAGCAGAAGUUGAAGUCGUCACCGGAGCUUAACCAGAACUUGAAGUCAUUUAGUAGAAAUGCUCAAGUCAUGAUAACGAGGCCAUCAUAUAAAGAAAUCCUAUAUUCCUUCUUGUGAAAUAUUCCUUUACUUGUUCCAGUGUGUAAGUCUUUGGAUUGGUGGUUUAAUGAACUUCGUUGGAGUUAUUUUGCUAUGUAUUGCUGUUUGGUAUGCA